rnacentral:misc_RNA from 1 species
AAUGAUAAUGGGUGGAGGUGGGAAGGAAGGAGAAUAUCUAAGGGAAAGAUCUUGGGCCUCUAAUUUCAAUCUCGACAAGAACCUUCCACGUUCUUUGCCACCUGGCACUUCCUAUUUCGCUUUAUCGUACCAAACCACGUUUUCUUUACCGGAAUUUUCUUCUUCUCCAUCUCCUCUCAUCGUAAGCUCUGCGUAUGUGUAAUUUA